GGAAGAUCUGUGUGAAAGGGAGUUAAACGUUUUUUGAAGUAAAUCCCCGAGUCGUACGUGCACGCAUACGGCCUUCCGUAGGUAACCUGUUUCGUUCUCGGUUUUGCAAAAGACGGUACAGAUCCACGAUUUCAGUGUGAAACUAAAAUCUCCAAUCGGUGUUUCUAAAAGACCCCUCAAUCUCCCAUCGGGAAAUUGGAUUAGUAGGAGAGGAAAUGACGUGAACCAGGGCGCAAUCGCUCCACCAGCUUGCACAGGACAACCCCAUCUUUGAGAGAAGACUGCAGGAAUCCUUCAGGGUCAGAAAUGAUCUUUUUCGGUGACUCCAAGACCCCCAACGUUAUCAGCCACGUUACCGUCUGUUCCGCCGAAUUCAUGGCUAUUAUUACAAUAACAUCCACUCUAUCCUAUCCUGGGAUGUUUUGGGAGAAGAGAACGGUGUGAUUGGAGAAUAAUAGCCUAUUCAGAAUAAAAACAUAUCCUAAUGGAUAAAGAUAACAUGACUGCGUUUUGGAGAGGUUGACGGACAGCUGCUUUCUUCCUAUAAGUUGUAGCUAGUCUAUCGGCUUCGUUUCCCUGUCUUUUACGCCUGGUAAAAACUGUCCACUGCC